GAUGAACGCUAGCUACAGGCUUAACACAUGCAAGUCGAGGGGCAGCGGGAUUGAAGCUUGCUUCAAUUGCCGGCGACCGGCGCACGGGUGAGUAACGCGUAUCCAACCUUCCGUACACUCAGGGAUAGCCUUUCGAAAGAAAGAUUAAUACCUGAUGGUAUGAUGAGAUCGCAUGGUAUCAUCAUUAAAGAUUUAUCGGUGUACGAUGGGGAUGCGUUCCAUUAGGUAGUAGGCGGGGUAACGGCCCACCUAGCCUACGAUGGAUAGGGGUUCUGAGAGGAAGGUCCCCCACACUGGUACUGAGACACGGACCAGACUCCUACGGGAGGCAGCAGUGAGGAAUAUUGGUCAAUGGGCGAGAGCCUGAACCAGCCAAGUCGCGUGAAGGAUGAAGGAUCUAAUGGUUUGUAAAACUUCUUUUAAUAUGGGAAUAAAGUGAGGAACGUGUCCUUUUUGAUGUACCAUAUGAAUAAGCAUCGGCU
rnacentral:rRNA from 1 species